rnacentral:lncRNA from 1 species
ACGUGCCCUGCCGACGCAAUCCCAAAGUGUCCCCUCGUUGUUGCCAAUCAGCCAGACCAUGGCUGGCAGAGGAGUAAAGCAUGAUUUACUUCCACGUACCUCAGGCGUGCGGGCGGGCUGCCGCUUGCGUGCGCCAUGCAACUGGCCGCUGCACGGGAGGCGGCACGUCUUCCAUGCCCGCGCGUGGGGGCAAUUGUCUCCACCGGCAGUUGCCGCCAUUAUGACUGCUGCCGCCGCCGCCGUCAACAGCAACCAUGCUCAUCGAGGCAGACCAACGGAGAACUGCGCGGGGCAGGAUGCGGGUCAGGGGAGGGCCUGAUGCGGGUGGGCGGGCGGCAGCGAGGAACAGCCCAGCCCAACAGGUUUUCGCACGGAAACAGGGGAGACCACCCGCCCGAAGCCCCCAGGCCAUGUAACAACAUCCUGAAACGCAACCGUGGCCUAAUUACAGCCCUGCCCACAUGCCAGGGACAGCCCGGUGUAGCCCAGUACCGGUCCAAUCGUGCACCCAAAGUCCCCGGACAUCUGGUGUGAACACUACGCCGAACCUUUUUGCAGUCUGAAAAGCGCUAUGGGCUCCCAUAUACAUGUUCUCCAUUCUGACACCUAAGCACAUGAUAUCUAGGAGCGCGCGAUGCCCGCCAUGCAAAAUUGCGCCUGCAUUCUGGUGGGGAAGAAUGCCUCCCUCUAAGGACCCCGGCAUGCGCGCUAUGGCCAAAGUACCGCCAAUACAUAUCGAAAUCGUGCAGGCGCGGUGAUAUGGCUGCGACGAUUUGGGCCCCUGUGAACUGAACCAUCGCAUUUCGCCGGACAUCGCGUGUGGCCUAAUACUCCAAGGAAACAUGGUCGGGAUUCGCGCUUCUGGUUCCUCAUACAGUUGGCUCCAUUCUGACACCUAACCUCGGGAAAGGAGCGAUAGCCGACGCCACCCAAGCUUGUGCCGCGCUGGGGGCCUUUUCAUGCGGUCCUGGAAACGGCCCAACCAGCACCCUCCUGACCUCCUAAGGCCGCACCCACCCCCGCUGGGACAUGGUAUUGGGAUGCAGAUGCCUAGGUCGGCUCUAGCAGCUCCUUAGGAGGCUCAGCGAGCCCGCAAAGGGUCCAUUUCCCCGUUCUCCCCUGGUCUCACCGUCGCUCGCAGGGCGCCCAGGGCCUCCAGGACACGCCAGAUCCCCGCGGAACGAGCGUUCCAAUUCAUUUCAGUGUUUCACGCCAUAGGAUAUGUCAAGUCAUGAAAUCGCUCAGGAAUGGCUCUAAACCCUCGAAAUGUUGGAGGGGGCCCUGCGGCCCUUCGCUAUCAGUUCUAAUGACUAUACAGUUGUCUUACAUACACAAAUGAGUGGCCGGGAGCUCCUUGGGAGGGGUCCGAACACCUUUUGGCCGGGUCCCAUGCAGCGCGAGCCUGGAUCCAGGCCGAGUUGCACACCCCCCUCCCCUGCACAAACACGCACACACACACAUACACGCGCUCUGUUUCGCUGCCAACUGCGCGCACACACACGCAGCUGCGCGACCCGGCGCGCACGCACGAGUGGAAAGGCGACUGGAGCGAUAC